rnacentral:rRNA from 1 species
UGGGGAAUAUUGCACAAUGGGCGCAAGCCUGAUGCAGCCAUGCCGCGUGUAUGAAGAAGGCCUUCGGGUUGUAAAGUACUUUCAGCGGGGAGGAAGGCGAUAAGGUUAAUAACCUUGUCGAUUGACGUUACCCGCAGAAGAAGCACCGGCUAACUCCGUGCCAGCAGCCGCGGUAAUACGGAGGGUGCAAGCGUUAAUCGGAAUUACUGGGCGUAAAGCGGACGCAGGCGGUCUGUCAAGUCGGAUGUGAAAUCCCCGGGCUCAACCUGGGAACUGCAUUCGAAACUGGCAGGCUAGAGUCUUGUAGAGGGGGGUAGAAUUCCAGGUGUAGCGGUGAAAUGCGUAGAGAUCUGGAGGAAUACCGGUGGCGAAGGCGGCCCCCUGGACAAAGACUGACGCUCAGGUGCGAAAGCGUGGGGAGCAAACA